rnacentral:lncRNA from 1 species
GCAUCUUCUGGAGAACACAGAGAAACAGAGCAAAUCCUCUAGGAUUAAGGACAGAAUUAACAUCUGCGGGUUGAUAGUUACACCCAGGCAGAGGUUAGCCCUACAAAACAUUCAGAGGUAAAAUACUGCAAGCAGUUUAAAGUUUGUGUUGCUGGAAUUGCCUUUUGUAUAAAAUUCCUGUCAUGUAUUUACAAAACCCCUGCCUCUACUAGAUAAUAACACAUUACAAAUUACAAAUGAAUGCAGCUGUAUUUCAUUAUUAAUUGUUACAUAUUCCCAAGCUGUUAAGUCUCAUGGUCUGCUGAUCAUGCCUGACCCACAAAUGGAAGUACUCAGAGCAAUAAAAUUUCACACAGUCUCAGUGUCCUUUCUAAUUAGCGAAUGAGUCAUGCCCUAUAUCUACAGAGCAGAACUGCGCUCCCUGGGUUCCAAGAGCAUCGAUAGAUGGAUGUCAAUUCAGAUUGCACUGCAUACCGCAGUUUUGAAAGGAUCAGAAGAUCGGGAGUUAAGUUUUACACCAAAAUUACAGGCACCUCCAGGAGUCUGUCUGGGGAGCUGGCUCUUUCAAAAAAUGUGUCCUUCAGAUGGAAGUGGAUGCAGGGAGGCUGUUUCCAUGGGUAUUGUCAGGACAUCACCGCACGGUGUACACAAUUAGUUGUGAUGUGCAAAUUGCUGCUCAGCUAAAGGGCUCUCUGCUGACAGCAAAGCUUGCUCCGUGACUGAAGUGACUUGCUGCCAAGUGGUUCUGCUGUUCAGGAAAAAGAAUGGACUAGUUUAAAUGAGGUCAUUAAGUCACUUGGCCAAAUUCCUACCCCAGGCAUUUAUCCUGUAUGUCUUGUCCGAUUCUGUAACACGGCUGUUAAUUGAAAGCUGGAUUUUGCCUAAGAGUGAUGCGAAUCUCAUCCCCCCCAAGCUCUCUGAACCACCAGGAAACUUGUAAUUCUCAAAUGCUCAUGGACACCAAAGUGACCCUUUUCCCUUACUUUGAGGUAUUGUGUAAAUGCCCAUUAAGUUAUUCCAGCAAAAGUCAAACUACUUUCUCUAUCAAACCCUUCCAGAUGGGAUUCA